rnacentral:rRNA from 1 species
AACGCUAGCUACAGGCUUAACACAUGCAAGUCGAUGGGCAGCAUGGUCUUAGCUUGCUAAGGCCGAUGGCGACCGGCGCACGGGUGAGUAACACGUAUCCAACCUGCCGUCUACUCUUGGACAGCCUUCUGAAAGGAAGAUUAAUACAAGAUGGCAUCAUGAGUCCGCAUGUUCACAUGAUUAAAGGUAUUCCGGUAGACGAUGGGGAUGCGUUCCAUUAGAUAGUAGGCGGGGUAACGGCCCACCUAGUCUUCGAUGGAUAGGGGUUCUGAGAGGAAGGUCCCCCACAUUGGAACUGAGACACGGUCCAAACUCCUACGGGAGGCAGCAGUGAGGAAUAUUGGUCAAUGGGCGAGAGCCUGAACCAGCCAAGUAGCGUGAAGGAUGACUGCCCUAUGGGUUGUAAACUUCUUUUAUAAAGGAAUAAAGUCGGGUAUGGAUACCCGUUUGCAUGUACUUUAUGAAUAAGGAUCGGCUAACUCCGUGCCAGCAGCCGCGGUAAUACGGAGGAUCCGAGCGUUAUCCGGAUUUAUUGGGUUUAAAGGGAGCGUAGAUGGAUGUUUAAGUCAGUUGUGAAAGUUUGCGGCUCAACCGUAAAAUUGCAGUUGAUACUGGAUAUCUUGAGUGCAGUUGAGGCAGGCGGAAUUCGUGGUGUAGCGGUGAAAUGCUUAGAUAUCACGAAGAACUCCGAUUG